rnacentral:rRNA from 1 species
UACGUAGGGUGCAGGCGUUAAUCGGAAUUACUGGGCGUAAAGCGUGCGCAGGCGGUUUCUUAAGUCAGAUGUGAAAGCCCCGGGCUUAACCUGGGAACUGCGUUUGAAACUGGGAGACUUGAGUGUGGCAGAGGGGGGUGGAAUUCCACGUGUAGCAGUGAAAUGCGUAGAUAUCUGGAGGAACACCGGUGGCGAAGGCGGCAUCCUGGACCGACACUGACGCUGAGGAGCGAAAGCCAGGGGAGCAAACGGG